rnacentral:rRNA from 1 species
GAUGAACGCUGGCGGCGUGCCUAACACAUGCAAGUCGAGCGAUUUACUUCGGUAAAGAGCGGCGGACGGGUGAGUAACGCGUGGGUAACCUGCCUCAUACACAUGGAUAACAUACCGAAAGGUAUGCUAGUACAAGAUGAUAUAAGAGAUUCGCAUGGAUUUCUUAUCAAAGCUCCGGCGGUAUGAGAUGGACCCGCGUCUGAUUAGCUAGUUGGUAAGGUGACGGCUUACCAAGGCGACGAUCAGUAGCCGACCUGAGAGGGUGAUCGGCCACAUUGGAACUGAGACACGGUCCAAACUCCUACGGGAGGCAGCAGUGGGGAAUAUUGCACAAUGGGCGAAAGCCUGAUGCAGCAACGCCGCGUGAGCGAUGAAGGCCUUCGGGUCGUAAAGCUCUGUCCUCAAGGAAGAUAAUGACGGUACUUGAGGAGGAAGCCCCGGCUAACUACGUGCCAGCAGCCGCGGUAAAAC